GACAUCUUCGGGCAAUGGUUGAACAAAUUUAGUAAAAAUAAUAAAAACCUCAUGAUUGUUGGUAUCUCGGCGAUGUUAUGGACAAUGUGGAAAUUGAGAAAUAGACUAGUGUUUGAUAAUCAUAGGGUUUAUGACCCCUGUGUUCCUGUUAACUUGAUUAUUAAAAACUUACAUGAGUGGUGUGCAUUGCAGAAAAGCCAAGAAAAAAUAGAUCUCAUGAAGGGGGGUGUAAAUCAGGUUGAGCGGGUGGCCACGGAGAUUUUCAAGGCGACGCGUGGAUGGGCGACUGGAGUUCCAAGACUUGGCGCCUCCUAA
rnacentral:rRNA from 1 species